GCUCCCAUGGACAAGUGGUUAAGUCCCCGCCCUUUCACGGCGGUGUCGUCAGUUCGAUCCUGACUGGGAGUACCA
rnacentral:tRNA from 1 species